CUAUAAAAGCCCUGUGGUGGACCUUCCUGUGUUCUUGGGGAGUCUCUCAGCCUCACCUUUCUCCUGCUUCCUCUGAAACCGUGAGCCCCACCUCGGCCAGCCUCCACCAUGCCUCCCAACCUCACCGGCUACUACCGCUUCGUCUCGCAGAAGAACAUGGAGGACUACCUGCAAGCCCUAAACGUGAGCGUGGCCCUGCGGAAGAUAGUGCUGCUGCUCAAGCCAGACAAGGAGAUCACCCACCAGGGCAACCACAUGACAGUGAAGACGCUCAGCACCUUCCGCAGCUACGUUCUGGAAUUCGAGGUGGGGGUGGAGUUCGAGGAGGACCUGAGCAUCAUGGAUGGACGCAAAUGCCAGACCAUAGUAACCUGGGAGGAGGAGCAGCUGGUGUGCGUGCAGAAAGGCGAGGUGCCCAACCGGGGCUGGAGACACUGGCUGGAGGGAGAGACGCUGUAUCUGGAACUGACUGCGAGGGACGCGGUGUGCCAACAGGUCUUCAGAAAAGUCAAGUAGCAGAGGGCGCCACUCCGUGGACCCUGCUCGCCUGGGCCCCCUUCAAGCCCAGACUGUGGCAGAAAGUCUCAUGUGCUCCACAGAAGCAGGCCCAAGGCAUGGCCUCAUCCACACAGGGGCAAGAGACUCAUCUUCUCCACCAUCAGAGGGCGUUCUGCUAUUUUAUAAUCCAGCCUACUUGUGUAAGGGGAGGGAUGGAGCUAACCAAGACCUUUGCCUGGUGCUGGGGGAGACUUGGACCUCCCGGUAGUGAUCCGGCCUCCACACGUGCCUUGGGAAGAUCAGGCAGCAAGAGGGCCAGAAAAGACUGAAAGGGCAGCAGAUGGGGGCCAAGGCCAAGGGAUAAGAAGAUGAGGGGCGUGGGGGCAUGGAGGUGACAGCAGGGAAAAGACCAGCAGGCUUGGCUAGGGGAGCCUCUGCUUACAGGCCAGCAGACUGGGGACAGCAGGUAUUAGGGAGAGCCAGGGACCACAAAGUCUUCCCCUAGGAUUCCAGAGGCUGCCCAGGGAAAGGGCCCAAAAGGGUGGGCUGGUUCAGGGUCAGGGCCAGCCCCCCUUCCCUGCCUCCAGGGGCUUAGUUCUCUCAGAAUAAAAGCCCAAUGCCUAA